rnacentral:tRNA from 2 species
UCCUGGUGGGCUCAGUUGGUAGAGCGCUCCACCUGUAAUGAAUAGGUUCCGGGCUCGAUACCCGGACCAGGCG